AUAACAUGCCUUCGGGGCUCCUUGGUGAUUCAUAAUAACUUCACGAAUCGCAUGGCCUUGCGCCGGCGAUGGUUCAUUCAAAUUUCUGCCCUAUCAACUUUCGAUGGUAGGAUAGUGGCCUACCAUGGUGGCAACGGGUAACGGGGAAUUAGGGUUCGAUUCCGGAGAGGGAGCCUGAGAAACGGCUACCACAUCCAAGGAAGGCAGCAGGCGCGCAAAUUACCCAAUCCCGAUACGGGGAGGUAGUGACAAUAAAUACUGAUACAGGGCUCUUUUGGGUCUUGUAAUUGGAAUGAGAACAAUCUAAAUCCCUUAACGAGGAACAAUUGGAGGGCAAGUCUGGUGCCAGCAGCCGCGGUAAUUCCAGCUCCAAUAGCGUAUAUUAAAGUUGUUGCAGUUAAAAAGCUCGUAGUUGAACCUUGGGCCCGUCCUGCCGGUCCGCCUCACCGCGAGUACUGGUCCGGAUGGGCCUUUCUUUCUGGGGAAUCCCAUGGCCUUCACUGGCUGUGGCGGGAAACCG
rnacentral:rRNA from 1 species